rnacentral:rRNA from 1 species
GACGAACGCUGGCGGCGUGCUUAACACAUGCAAGUCGAACGGAAAGGCCCUGCUUUUGUGGGUGCUCGAGUGGCGAACGGGUGAGUAACACGUGAGUAACCUGCCCUUGACUUUGGGAUAACUUUAGGAAACUGGGGCUAAUACCGGAUAGGAGCUCCUGCUGCAUGGUGGGGGUUGGAAAGUUUCGGCGGUUGGGGAUGGACUCGCGGCUUAUCAGCUUGUUGGUGGGGUAGUGGCUUACCAAGGCUUUGACGGGUAGCCGGCCUGAGAGGGUGACCGGCCACAUUGGGACUGAGAUACGGCCCAGACUCCUACGGGAGGCAGCAGUGGGGAAUAUUGCACAAUGGGCGGAAGCCUGAUGCAGCAACGCCGCGUGCGGGAUGACGGCCUUCGGGUUGUAAACCGCUUUCGCCUGUGACGAAGCGUGAGUGACGGUAAUGGGUAAAGAAGCACCGGCUAACUACGUG